UGUUUAGUGUAGAAUCUCUUACUUGUUAUAAUGCAAUGUUGCAGAGGUUUUUGCCUUCAGAGUUUGGGCAUGAUGUGUACAAAGCAGAUCCUGUGGAGCCAGGUCUAACAAUGUACAAGGAGAAGCGACUGGUUAGGCGUGUGGUUGAGGAAUCUGGGAUUCCAUAUACCAAUAUCUGUUGUAAUUCCAUUGCUUCUUGGCCUUACUAUGACAAUUGCCACCCAUCACAGCUUCCUCCACCUUUGGAUCAAUUACAGAUAUAUGGUCAUGGCAAUGUCAAAGCUUACUUUGUUGAUGGCAUUGAUAUUGGAAAGUUCACAAUGAAGGUUGUUGAUGAUGCCAGGACAGUCAACAAAAAUGUUCAUUUUCGACCAUCUAACAACUGUUACAGCAUCAACGAGCUAGCUUCUUUGGGGAAAAGAAAAUUGGCCUUACAAUCCCCAGAGUGACCAUCUCAGAAGAUGAUCUUCUGGCAGUAGCAGCAGAAAAUUGCAUACCGCGAAGUAUUGUGGCAUCUUUCACUCAUGACAUAUUCAUCAAAGGUUGUCAAGUUAACUUCAACAUAGAUGGACUUGGUGAUGUUGAGAUUAGCACUCUCUAUCCUGAUGAAGCAUUCAGAAGCUUGGAGGAUUGCUUCGAGGGCUUUGCUCUUAUGAUCGAUGACAAGAUUAAUAAAGGGGAAAAUAAAAUUACCGGCACAAAAUCUGUAGUGGAAGCAGUGCCAUUCACAGCUUCCUGUGGAGAAGAAUCACCUCCUCAAAAAUGUUCUAACUUUGUUGUUCCAAUUACUAGGCUUUGGUGAGGUGGAAAUGUAUUGAGUCAUUAGAAAUGGACCUUUUAUGUUGAUGUUAUUUCGAAGACUGUUUUAUCUAAAGUGUUUUAUUGUAUUCCUAGAG